rnacentral:rRNA from 1 species
AUUGAACGCUGGCGGAAUGCUUUACACAUGCAAGUCGAACGGCAGCACGGGGCAACCUGGUGGCGAGUGGCGAACGGGUGAGUAAUACAUCGGAACGUGCCCAAUCGUGGGGAUAACGUAGCGAAAGUUACGCUAAUACCGCAUACGAUCUACGGAUGAAAGCGGGGGAUCGCAAGACCUCGCGCGAGUGGAGCGGCCGAUGUCAGAUUAGGUAGUUGGUGGGGUAAAGGCUCACCAAGCCAACGAUCUGUAGCUGGUCUGAGAGGACGACCAGCCACACUGGAACUGAGACACGGUCCAGACUCCUACGGGAGGCAGCAGUGGGGAAUUUUGGACAAUGGGCGCAAGCCUGAUCCAGCCAUUCCGCGUGCAGGAUGAAGGCCUUCGGUUGU